UAAUACGGAGGGUGCAAGCGUUAAUCGGAAUUACUGGGCGUAAAGCGCACGCAGGCGGUUUGUUAAGUCAGAUGUGAAAUCCCCGGGCUCAACCUGGGAACUGCAUUUGAAACUGGCAAGCUAGAGUCUCGUAGAGGGGGGUAGAAUUCCAGGUGUAGCGGUGAAAUGCGUAGAGAUCUGGAGGAAUACCGGUGGCGAAGGCGGCCCCCUGGACGAAGACUGACGCUCAGGUGCGAAAGCGUGGGGAGCAAACAGGAUUAGAUACCCUGGUAGUCCACGCUGUAAACGAUGUCGAUUUGGAGGUUGUCGCCCUUGAGGCGUGGCUUCCGGAGCUAACGCGUUAAAUCGACCGCCGUGGGGAGUACGGCCGCUAAAGGUUA
rnacentral:rRNA from 1 species